rnacentral:lncRNA from 1 species
AUCGAUAUUGCGUUGCAUUCGCUAGCAAGAGCUCCUCCCCGCUAAGAUACUGCUUCAUUCCCGCUCGAGGAAAGGAAAGAGGCACGAGCGAUGGCAUGAUUCAGGAACUUGAACAUCGGCGCAGGUGAGAUCCCUCCCCAUCCUCCUCCCCCUCGUCCUGCCCAUCCCCGGCGAGGCUCCGGUCGUCCCUAUCUUGCUCCCUCCCCGCGCCAAUCCUGUACCCCCUCUCCCGCGUCGUCUCAACAGCCAUGCCGUCCGAGGUGCUCUGUCCCCACGGCGGCGGCGGCCCCUGUCUUUUGCCUACCAUGGCAAGAGCCCCCCUCGCCCCCUAGCUACUAGUGCUUGAACCCCCAUCUGGACCGCCCCCGGGUCCCCUCUUACCCCCUCAUCCAGAACCCUAGAAAUCUUCUCAGAUCCCUGAUUUCUCUGCCUCUUGCAGGUCACUUGGUGGGUGUAUGGAUCCUUCUCAGCAGCUCGAUUCAAGGCAUGUGAUGUUCAUAGGUGUAUGUGAUGUUGAUCUAAAUCUGGCUAUAGAUGUUUGUGUUCUAGUAAUGGCAUUAGGAAUUGUAGGGGUUUUAGAUCUGUAACGUUGUUGCAGUCAACAAUUAUGUUUGUGGUGCUUCUUUUAUUGUCUUCUAGUAGGUCUUCAUAGUUGCAACUUGCUGUGCAAUUUUAUUGUUUGAUGUUUGCUUGACUAAAUGCUCCAGUUUUAUUGCUUGAAAAGCUGUAUAAAUGAUUGAUGGCUAAUAACUAAAUUAUUAUGUAGUUCCAUAACAUCAGAUCAAGUAGACAUGAUUUCAUACAUAACUGAAGAGAACAAAAG